UACGAAGGGGGGCUAGCGUUGCUCGGAAUCACUGGGCGUAAAGCGCACGUAGGCGGAUCUUUAAGUCAGGGGUGAAAUCCCAAGGCUCAACCUUGGAACUGCCUUUGAUACUGGGGAUCUCGAGUCCGGAAGAGGUGAGUGGAACUGCGAGUGUAGAGGUGAAAUUCGUAGAUAUUCGCAAGAACACCAGUGGCGAAGGCGGCUCACUGGUCCGGUACUGACGCUGAGGUGCGAAAGCGUGGGGAGCAAACAGGG
rnacentral:rRNA from 1 species